AUUGAACGCUGGCGGAAUGCUUUACACAUGCAAGUCGAACGGCAGCACGGACUUCGGUCUGGUGGCGAGUGGCGAACGGGUGAGUAAUGUAUCGGAACGUGCCCAGUCGUGGGGGAUAACGUAGUGAAAAUUACGCUAAUACCGCAUACGAUCUAUGGAUGAAAGCGGGGGAUCGCAAGACCUCGCGCGAUUGGAGGGGCCGAUAGCAGAUUAGGGAGUUGGUGGGGUAAAGGCCCACCAAGCCAACGAUCUGUAGCUGGUCUGAGAGGACGACCAGCCACACUGGAACUGAGACACGGUCCAGACUCCUACGGGCGGCAGCAGUGGGGAAUUUUGGACAAUGGGCGAAAGCCUGAUCCAGCCAUUCCGCGUGCAGGAUGAAGGCCCUCGGGUUGUAAACUGCUUUUGUACAGAACGAAAAGGUUUCUACUAAUACUAGGAGCUCAUGACGGUACUGUAAGAAUAAGCACCGGCUAACUACGUGCCAGCAGCCGCGGUAA
rnacentral:rRNA from 1 species